rnacentral:rRNA from 1 species
CACGUAGGGGGGCGAGCGUUUGUCCGGAUUCAUUGGGCGUAAAGCGCGCGCAGGCGGCUCGGAAAGUCGGGUGUGAAAACUCGGGGCUCAACCCCGGGCGUGCAUCCGAUACUGCCGGGCUUGAGGCAGGUAGGGGAGAUCGGAAUUCCUGGUGUAGCGGUGAAAUGCGCAGAUAUCAGGAGGAACACCGGUGGCGAAGGCGGAUCUCUGGGCCUGUCCUGACGCUCAUGCACGACAGCGUGGGGAUCAAACGG